rnacentral:misc_RNA from 1 species
GUACCUAUUGAACACCUUUCGAUGACAUGGCACGAAAAGUGUAUAACACCGUUACUUAGCGCGUGAACAUAUCUUCUUCAAAAAUGUACCUAUUGAACACCUUUCGAUGACAUGGCACGAAAAGUGUAUAACACCGUUACUUAGCGCGUGAACAUAUCUUCUUCAAAAAUGUACCUCUUUAUUUUCCUUUUUUCUUUGACCAUAUCUUCUUCCUACAGGGCUACACCAUUAUCAGUUCAACCGUGCACCUCGCUGGCACCAUUUCCACCGCGCUAGCGCCACCACCACCAAUUCUUCUCUUU